rnacentral:ncRNA from 2 species
GAGGAACCCGGUGGAAAUCCGGGGCGGUCCCGCCACUGUGACCGGCGGCCCCGCGGCCGCCGGCAGCCAGGAACUC